AGUGGCGGACGGGUGAGUAACGCGUGAGAAUCUGCCUUGGGGUCGGGGACAACCACUGGAAACGGUGGCUAAUACCGGAUAAGCCGAUUGGUGAAAGAUUUAUUUCCCGAAGAGGAGCUCGCGUCUGAUUAGCUAGUUGGUGAGGUAAGAGCUCACCAAGGCAGCGAUCAGUAGCUGGUCUGAGAGGACGAUCAGCCACACUGGGACUGAGACACGGCCCAGACUCCUACGGGAGGCAGCAGUGGGGAAUUUUCCGCAAUGGGCGAAAGCCUGACGGAGCAAGACCGCGUGAGGGAGGAAGGCUCUUGGGUUGUAAACCUCUUUUCUCAGGGAAGAAGCUCUGACGGUACCUGAGGAAUCAGCCUCGGCUAACUCCGUGCCAGCAGCCGCGGUAAUACGGAGGAGGCAAGCGUUAUCCGGAAUUAUUGGGCGUAAAGCGUCCGCAGGUGGCGAUUCAAGUCUGCUGUCAAAGCACGGGGCUUAACUCCGUAAAGGCAGUGGAAACUGAAUAGCUAGAGUGCCGUAGGGGUAGAGGGAAUUCCCGGUGUAGCGGUGAAAUGCGUAGAGAUCGGGAAGAACAUCGGUGGCGAAAGCGCUCUACUGGACGACAACUGACACUCAGGGACGAAAGCUAGGGGAGCGAAUGGGAUUAGAUACCCC
rnacentral:rRNA from 1 species